AACAAUAACAACAACAGGAAAAAAAAUGUUCAAUUUUGAAACGAAAAUCAAAAAAAAAAAAUCAAAUCAAGGUUCAGGGAAUUUAGGAUAUAAUAAAGAAUAUUAAAAAAAGUGUAAUUGAAUUUUACAAAAACUUUACACACACACAGACACACAAUAUAGAUACAAGAAUAUUUAUAUUGUUUAAAAUGUCAGCUAUAACACUUUGUUGUUUCUUCUGUGUAUUCAAAAAAAAAAAAUUUGUCUAAAGCUAAAUCAAUUGAUUUGAUUGUUGAUAUGUGUGUAUUAUAUGUAUGAUGUUUGGAAUUGUUAUUGGACCAAAUAGAUGAUGAUUGUAAUAAAUUGUAUAAUUUUCAUUGUUGUUUGAUUCUGUUGAUUGCUGCUGCUGCUGAUGAUGAUGUUGAUGAUUUACCAAAACGUAAAAAGAUAUCCACCAAAGAACAUAAAAAAAAUUCGAAUAUCAAUAUUCUUUGCCAGAAACGAUAAAUGAUUGUAAUGAUGAUGGAGAUGAUAAUCGAAUUUUUUUUUUGUUAACUCUUGAUGAAGUUUCGAGAAUUCUCUAAUCACAUAGAAAAAAAAGCCACAUUUGAUAUAAAAGGACCUAUCAAUUUCAAUGUAUAUGUGUGUAUGCUUUUGUGGCUCUCGUUGUUGACGCUAUUGUUUUGUUUGAUGAUUAAAUAAUGCUUGCUCACUUUCUCUCACUAAUAUAUGUUGAUGGUUCGCUUUCGUCGAUUUGUGAUGUGUGUGUGUGUGUUUGCUCUUACACACGGAUGCUUAUAGCUAAAAUGGCUGUUUCUGAAUGUAAUAUGUUGGCAAGAUUGUUUUUUUUAUUUGAUGAUUUCAAAUCUUGCAUUCAAUGAUGAUGAUGAUGAUGAUGAUUAGUGCUAAUUUUGAUGAAUGUUAAUGUUAAUUGAUUUAUCAUAAAUAAUCUUGAAAAAUAUGGGUAGACAUUUUUCUUUAGACCAACCAUUAAUGAGAAUGUGCUGAUGUGUAUUGAUGAAAACACAAAGCAACGUAUACAUUGGACAAAUGUAAAAAUAGAUAUACGUGAGCAACAUCAAGCAAGCAAUAGGUUUUAAACAAUAAUUCGUUGUUAUUAUGUGUGUGGACAUUGGCUAUACCUCUACCAAUACUACUAUUACUACUACUAGUACUACUACUACUACUGCAAAAAUAAAACUUACCCAUUUUUUACACGUAAACAGGAUGGAAUUUUUUUUUUUUUUUGUUCUCAUUUCUUCUGAAUUUACGUUAUAGCUGGAAAGACACUAUAUGGUUAUAGUUGUAGUUUUUUGGCAAUAUGUUCACAAAUGGACAUUGUGUUUGUGUGAUAUUAAGGUAACAAACAAAAGUGGUGGUCAUAGUAAGUGAGCGGUUGGUUGUGUAUAUAUAUAUAUGCAGUACAGAUAUUGAUGCGAAAAUUUUAUUCUGGACGAAGGACCAAAAAAAAAAAAAAAAAUUAGGCUAAGUUCAAUGUCAACCAAGUACAUAUGUAUGUAUUAUACUGAUGACUGUAUUAUAUCCUUUUUAUGAUUCUGAACCGCUACCUUUCAACGAAUCAAUUAAUUCAAUUGCUAUUCCAAAUCAACAACAUCGAAUUUAUUUUAUUUGGCCAUAGUUUUCGAUGUAUUUGAUGAAUCAGUAUUGCUUGUAGUCAAUGUCGUCGUCGUUGUGGUUGUUGUCAUUGUUCGAUUUUUUUUAUCGGAUGUUUUUGUUGUUGCUGUUGUUGCAUUG